rnacentral:lncRNA from 1 species
CCUUCUUUUCAUUCAUUUUAUAGACAAAGCUUUAGACAAAGUUGUAGUGGGAUGAAUAGUGGAUUGGUAGUGGGAUAGGUGGCCAUCCACAAUGAAUGGCCUGUGCAUUACAACACUCUCCCUUGGAUGACCACAAGUUUUCAAUUGACUUGUUAAAAUCUUGAUCUGUUUUGGAUGCUUCCCAUGCUGAGUAUCUCCUCCUGUUUCCAAAUUCUUUAAGCUGAUCAUUGAUCCUUCUGCUUUAGUUUCUUAGCGGGGAGAGUUGCCGAAAGAGGUGCUUUACUUGUUGUUAACUUUCCAUAGGCUUUUUCUUGAACUGGGCUGGAGGGCUUUCUGCUAGACUUGCAUCAAAGGUCUGAAUUUACUCAUUUUAUCUAGAGCGGAAUUUGAUUCAAGGGUGGUGGACACUUGAUAUUGAAUUGGACUUGUGAUUUCUUCAAGGACCUUCGAGGCUUAAUCUUGAAUGAAAUUGGACCAUGAAGAGCUUCACAUGGCAAGUGAUCUUCGGCUUUAUCGAGGAUGAAUCAGUAUGUGUUUGUUGCGCUUGUCUCCACAUGCUUCAAUGUAUCAUUUUCACUUGCCUUACUUGUUUCCCUUGCAUAAGUGGUAUUUUCCCUGGUUUUCCCCUAUGUAUGUGUGGCAUCUUCUCUUGUAGUAUUUGUCCCCUGAUGCAGGAGUGGAAUGCAACCCUUGCAUUUGGAUGAUUCAUCACUUCUUGGUGACUGGAGACCCAACUUCAUCAACAGUUGAAGAUGGUUACUCAAGAGAAAUACUAGGUAAGUAAUCAGGAAAGUUUUCAGGCAAUCGGAUCCUUACCAGAAGGUUGAUUACAGGUUCUGACUGAUUUCUUUCUUUAUCCUUGUUUUGCAGGUAAGAACAAGGACAAAGGAAAUGAUAGGGAAAUUGGAUGAUAUGAGAUACUUUUGCUCUCGUCCCUAAUGAUAUGAGAUACUCUUGCUCUGGUAUGACUUGUUUUGAAGAGUUAUUCUCGAAGAGAAAGAAAACUGAGUAUGUUGAGAGGUUUGGUUGCAGAUGCAUUUUCGGCAAUGAGAGAGAGUUAGGAGUUUUGGAUGUGUGCCUUGCCAUGGAGGAUGAAGGUCGAUAUAUAUAGGGAUUUCCCCAAUAGCAGGUAGUGGUGUGGAUGUGGCUUUGUCAUCCACGCUUGUCGGCAACAGUGUUGUAGUUGGAAUAGUGAAAUUCAUGCGUUUUCAACUUUAUCAGAGAUCUUUGACAAAGUUGCAAGUGAUAUCCAAAAGCUGAAAUUGCGUCUAAGAAAUGUUGACGAACUUUAUCCUGAAAAUCUAGCUUUUGAAAUUCGGAGAGCGAUUUCUCUUUGAUUUUUGAACAGGUGACCCUGUUGCAUCUUCUUUUAUAGAUAUAUCAAUUUUGUUCAGAUACAUUCAUAAAAUUGUUGCCUGUAGAAAUUUCCUCUUCUUGCACUUCUGAGAUUUUAUCUGACCUCAUUUUUCCUUCAUCAUUUCUGAAAAAUGGCUUGCCCAUCUAACAUUUGGUUAGAUUUGAGUCUUAGGACUAAUAUAGGCGAGCCGCAUCAGGAUAAUAUACAGUGCCCAUCUUUCUUAUCUUCAAAUAGUCCUCUUAUGGUUGGGGACUCUAUGAUGAAGAAUGACCUAACCAUUAUAGUGGUAGUUAGGAAUCUUCUCACUCCCAAGGAUAACAGAAUCCUUUCAAACCGGUUUGAUGAGUCGACUGUUCAAGACUCCUUGGCUCUCAGUAUUCAGUGUGCGGGCUCUGUUUCUAAUAUAGGCCAAUGCCUACUUGCUCGAACUCACCAAGUUGAAUCAUUGAUGGCUGUGGUGGCAAGUCUUAAACAAGAGAUUGGAUGGCUCAAGCAUGAGAAUAGAAUGUUAUACAUGCUUGCAAAUAAUUACUCAAUGAGCCCGACCAACUACUGGAAUCCGAAGGUCGAACUCAAAAUGACAAUCAAGGGUUCAAGUCUUUAAUCCAAAGACACACAUUGUCUUAACCGUCUAGAGUUUCACCAAGUAUUGAGGCUCCAAAUAAUCAACCUUCGGUGCCUCUUCCUUCUGGGGUACUUCUGAGUACUGAGGCUUCACAUGAGCAACCUUUGUAAAGGUUCCCUCCUGUUUGUUCAUUUUAACUCAUGUGUAUGUACAUGUCUGUAAUUUCUUGGAGAUAUUAAUAGAUAACUUUAUUUCAUUCAGUGUAUUGUGUUAAAUACAAUAAAGCAUAUACUUCAUUAAGAUGUGGUACUUCUGGAUUGAACAUAUAUUCAUCUUUUCCUCACGAUGAUGAAUGAUUUUUCUUAGUGUCUAAAUAUUAAUUAACCACUUGAGUAUUCAACUCAUGAUCUUCAAUCCAUAUGGUUCUUUUAAUACUAUAAACAUCAUGGAUAAGAUUCGUGUUAGUAUAUUGUUCGAUCUGCAGCUCGAGACAAUAUUUCUCUCAACACUUUAUAAACUUUUUAGAUUCUUCAGGAGUCUCAACCUAAUAUUAUCGACUCUUGCAAGAAAUUUUAGUAUGUUACAACAAUAUCAUAAUGAUAGUACUCACUAAGACAAUUUAUACCAUCCAUUGGUAUUGAGUACAUAUUUUAUGCUUUACCCUUCCGGGGCUUACUUCAAGCAAUUUGAAUCCUUUAGGGAUUUUUUGAAUCCUUUAGGGAUUUUCUACACUUCAGGACACAUUUUCCUUUGGAAUAUAUACAGAGCAAUUUGCUCCCAUGUAUACUUGAGGGAUUUACUUAUGGAGAUAUGAUGUGGGCGACUCACAACCCUUCAUAUAUAAUUCUACAUUCAUAUGAACUCGUUUACAAGAGUAUAAUUUUAGGUUUCAAUUAGUAACCUUGUGUCAUAUCAUGUGAGUGUAUUCCAUUGUAUUACAAAUACUCAUAUGUAACCUUCUAGGUUCAACAUCUUUUGGCUAUUUGUAUUAUACAUAUAUAUAGAUCCAUUUUUCCACGUUCUUACAAGAUUGUAAUGGAAUUGCCUUUUCUCCAUUUUUGGCAAAUAAUAUUUCCUUUCAUCGACGAACAAAAGAACGUGACUCAAUAUCAAUCCAGCUCAUUGAUGAAUUUAGUAGCUACUUGUAAAAACCAAAAUUAUCAUUGGUUAUCAUCAAUCCGUGAUCCCAUAUUCUAAUGUGCAUACGCAUGCAUAUAAACUUUUCAUUUCUUUGGAUAUCUAUUGCCUCUUCAAGGGCAUUAUACUAUCUCUCUCAGGAUAGUCAUAAUUUAGAGAAUGUGGAUCAUAACCUCAUCUGGAGCAUUAUAGAGCUUGGAUUUUAAGCUCCACUUUUGGGGGUUGAGUCAUUUGGAACCUAUACGUCUAUCAUGCUUCAUGCAUGAGACAUCAAUAUUCUCAUGUCCGCGGAUUGUCCUUUCUGGGAUGUGUAUCCAUGCGGCAACUGUUAUGCUUCUAAAAUGCAACAGUUAUACUUCGGGAAUGCAAUAAUUCAAUAGUGCCAUAUUCUUUUUCUUUUGAAUGACUGAACAUUUUGAGUGUGAGAGUUUGCCACGCUUCAGGCAUGUAACAGAUAACUCAUUUACUGCCUUAUUAUUUUGUCCAACAGGGACAUCAAUUCUUGUAGGCACAUUUGUAGCAAGUAUAUGUGAUGUUAUCACUUUCGUUGCAUCAUUAAAUGCAUCUGGCAUUUGACUUGCAUAUCGUUGCAUCAUUUAAUCAUUCUUACUUCGUUUUUAUAUUGAUUGCUUCAUAAAUCAAAAUAAGACAAAUUCUCUUCGUUCUUUUGGAACGGUCUUUUCUCAUCAUUCUUCUGGAAUGAUAUUUUCACAUCGUUUUUCUGGAAUGAUGUUAUUUUCUUCCCCUAAUGGCGGGAAAACUGUCUUAACAAAAUCAUAGUCUGCAAACCGCGCGGUAAACAUAUCCCCAGUCAAGGGCUCCAAAUGUUGAAUGAUAGAUGGUGGAUCAAAUUCAACAUAAAUUCCCAAUUUGUAAUGAUGCCUUAUUUUAGUAUGUUGUGGCAGUACGACAAGCACAUAGAUAACACAACCAAAAACUCGUAAAUGUUAAUGUUUGGUUGGUGCCUAAACACUAGUUGCACUGAGAAAUAUUGAUAGUUGGCAACUGGUCUCAACCGAACGUAAUAAUGAAUUAUGUAAAAUGGUACUUACCCAUCUUGCAAUUUCUUUUUCAUGAGCAGAGCGUGGGUAAUCAAUUUCAUCCGCUUAAUAAAUGCUUCUGUUAAAUCAUUUUGAGUAUGAACAUGAGGAACAUGGUGUUCAACAUCAAUGCCUAAUGACAUGCAAUACUCAUCAAAACUUCGAGAUGUAAACUCUCUAGCGAAUAUGCAUUAUAUCAUCAUUUACAUAAAUCAAGGAACUUCUGGUCCUUAUUUAAUAGCCUAUGAAUUGGGAUUCUCAUGGCCUUUAUUACAAUUAAGUUGUGGCACUUCGGCUCUUCAAACUUAAGGUACUCAUCAAGGAACUUCAUGUCCAAUCUUGAGGAUCUAGGGACUUCAUUCCUAAUCUUUUUACAUGAUUGAACUUCGGGUCUAAUCAUUUUAUGUGAUGAAGAUCAAGAAACUUCAAGUUCUGAUCUGAUCAAGAAACUUUGGGUCCAGUAUAUACUUAUCGUAACAAAAAGAAGUACAAUAAAUAAAUUAAAGCAAUAGACGGUAAUUCCAGCCAUAGUACAUAAAUUGCUUUUAAGUAAAUAAAGCUUGUGACAAGGGCUUUGAUUCAGCACCAAUCACAUAAAUAUCAAAGCUUUAAAGCAAAGGGUAAUAAUUCUACCCACUGUAAAUAAACAGAACUUGUGAUAGGGCUUCAAACCAACACCAUGCACAUAAAUAUGCCAAAACAGAAAAAUGCAAUGAUUAAGUCCUCAUCUUUUGCUUUUUCUUUUUCUUGGUCUGCCAUUUCUUUUGUUUGAUUUCUUUUAUUUUUUUUAUUUCACAGUUCUGAAGUCAUUUUGGUUACUCAGGAAAUAAUAGUAACAAUAAGUUCCAAUUGGUGCUCCUCCUCCGUGAGUUUUGAAAAAAUCGAAGCGGUUCCCAUAAGUUUUGGAGUCAAGAGUGUCUGCAACUUAUGAGAAGAUCAAACUGUUAGAUUUAGCUUAAAUUUUAGUAUGAUAUGGAUAAGAGGAUACCGAACAACUUUCGUGAAGAAACAGUUUCGAUAUGAUUUACUGAAAUGAAGUUUUGGUACUCAUAAGGUGCCUGUCCAAUUUUUUGUGGAAAUUGAAAACGGGUUUGGCAUUUCAUGCAUCUACGAUGAUCGCACCGUUGGAAUUUUCUGAAAAUUUGAUAUGUUGUAGGUACUAUGCGGACGAGCAACUUUGAAGAAGAAAAUAUUUCAAUCCGAGUUUUGCAAGUUGAAGAUGCGAGGCUGUUUACGUGGCUGUCAGAUUCUCUACGAAUUUUGAGUCUGUACUCUUUUGCUUCUACAAAGGAUGAUAUACAGUCAUACAACAAUAUAUAUAUUUGCUUCAAGAAAAUCAGUAGUACAAAGAUUUUAGGAUGAAAUGAAAGGAUUUUCUUAUAUGUGAGAUUCCAGGCGAAGAGGUGAACAUGAUUUGUGGCGUUGUGCUUUCCACUGACAUGAGAGCUUCUUGUUCUGAUAACGUGUUGUAAAAUUGACGGUGUGUGCAGUAGAAUAAAUAAACAAGACAUAAAAUUUACGAGGCUCCUCUACAGUCAGUGUGACUGGAGUAUGUCCUCGGGGCAGUAGUGAUGCUUUCAUUUAUAAUAUGAAAUAGUAAGAUUACAAAGAUAACUCUCUCUAUUAUCUCCUCUCUUUUUCUUCUAUCUGCCGUGAGCCUUAUGGCUUCUCUCUUCUUCCUCUCUUCUUCCUUUCUUUUCUCUCUUCACAACUGUAUGUCCAUUUGUGUAUAUACACUCUCCUUCUUUUCAUUCAUUUUAUAGACAAAGCUUUAGACAAAGUUGUAGUGGGAUGAACAGUGGAUUGGUAGUGGGAUAGGUGGCCAUCCACAAUGAAUGGCCUGUGAAUUACAACAUGGAUCCAUUUGUUUUAUAUCUACAUCCAACUAAAUAAUUUUGUCCAACAAAUUCUCAAAUCUGCCUUUAACAGAUAAGAAAAAGAAAAUAAUGAGAAAAAACAAUUUAUAUAGAAUUACCUCACUCCAACUAACAUCGAUGCCUUUUGUGAUAAAACCCCACACCUGACGGAUUUGGCAGGUGGUAAAGUGGGGACAGUAUUAGUGUUGUUGGAGUGGGCCCUCGGCCCGUCGAUCUAAAUUUUUUUACAUGGUAUCAAAGCCAGGGGACGAGCUAUCACACCCCGGACCUGGGGUAGGUGAAAAAAAUAACCCCGCAUCCGGCGCGCGAGUAAAAGUAAAAUAAAUAAAUAAAAGGAAAUUGACACGGGUUGAAAAAUAUAAACUUCUCUUAUUAAAUAUAACUCCAAAAUCCUUAUAGGGUGUACACAAAUAAUAAAUUAAAAUCCUUAAACUUCUCCUCAAUCACAACCUCUGCUCUUCCAACACUUGUCUUGCCAAACAACUCAUUUGUAAAAUAAUAGGUGAGGGGUGAGCAACAACCACCGUCUCUCAAUGAGUAGAAUAUAUAAUAUGCCAGUCAAGCUUGCCAUUUUAAUCACACUAUAAAAUAGGAUAAUAAUAUCAAAGCUUUAGCCACAUAAUUCCAUAUCACAUCAUCCCUUUACGUGUCCAUUAUAUCCUUCAUAAAUUGUAACUCACCACGUGACUCCUAAUGGCCAUCUGCCCUAAUGUCCCCAUGUGCAGUUUACAUUUAUCCCUUAGAUUAAUGCAACACUAAAGUUCUUAUGCUCCAUGAACAUCUCAAGUAAUUUCAUAUACAAUAUAUAUCCCAUCAUAAAACAUUUACACAAAAUCCAACAUGCUUGACUUAAAAUAGAUAGAGAUUUGAAAUAUAGAAAACCCACAAUAGCUCGUGGUUUUCAUUUAUCAGAAAAUAAGAAUAUUUUAAAUACAUUACAUAAACCACUCACCUCGAUAACUUGAAUCUUUGGCAAGACAACCCAACUAACAAGAUCAACACAUCAAACUCCAACUCUAAACUCUCUUUCCUUAUACUUGAACACCAACACUGCAUGUUGCCUUAUUUCCAUAAAAAAUGGAGUAAAGCUCCUAUUUAUACUAGUAGGAAACGGUUAGCACAAGACUCUAAUUGGUUGGUUUGGCGGCCAAACAAUGACGGCAUGCAAGGUGUCAACCAAAUAAGGAAUAAAUGAUACAGUGCAUCCACCUAAGGCUAUUUGAAGCCACGUCCAAGUUAUAGCUUGGAACACUCAGCAACUAGAUUGCUUAUUCACUUCUAAUACAUCACACUACCUCAUAUUGCAUGGCCUUUUGAAGCCACCUCCUGUAACCUAUGUGGCUGCUAACGAAAAAGAUAAUAAUUUAAAAUGGGACAUAUUAUGUGAUAAUUGAUUGCUACCUAACUAUAGUUCAUUCUAAUAACUGUAAAUAAUAUAUAAAAUUAUGGGAUCUCACACGGGCUCAUAUUGCCACGUGAUUGGGUGAGUCCCUUUUGGCCCGCGCGAUGGGUGAGUCUCGACAUGGCUCCACGUAGGCCAAAGAAGCCACGUGAUUGGGUGGGUCCCUGUUUGGCCGUGCACGAUGGGUGAGCCCUGACAUGGCUUCACGUGGUUACUGAUGUGUGGAUCUCCACGUGACCCAUAAAAUGGGGUCUCACGUAAGCAAUUUAUAUAGAAUUACCCCACUCUAAAUAACACCGAGACAUUUUGUAAUAAAAUCCCACACUUGACGGAUUGGGCAGGUGGUAAAAUGGGGACAGUAUCGGUGUUGUUGGAGUGGACCCACGGCUCGUCGACCUGAAAAUUCUACAAAAAUAAAAUGCCCAAUACCCUAAACCCACCACCACUAUUUUAUUUUGUGGAUGAUCUUGAGCAUAUACAAGUUCUAAUUGUUUUUAAAAUCUUUUUAUUUAUUUCAGGCCACAUUUGGAUUUUUUUUUAAAUAAUUUUUUAAAUUGGAUGUAAAGAUAAGAUAAAUGAGUUAUUGCAAUUAAUUUUAUUUACCAUUGAAUUAUGACCUGCUUAAUCUUUUUCAUUUGUUAAUUAUUUUUAAUUAAUUUCCCAUACAGUAGUUUGAAAUAUAACUAUCUAUUCAUUAUUCAUUUCAUAUUUGGGAUGAUAUUGAAUUAGACAUAAUGAUAGAAGUUGUAUUCAUUUAAUUUAGCCUCAUAAAGAAUUAUGAAUUGUUUUUAUAAGAGGACAUUAAUUUUUAUUCCUUUUUUCUUUUUGUUUAAUUUUAGUUUGUGUAUCAGAUUUCAAUUUUUCUACCCAUUCUAGGUUCAGAGUGUGAUACAUUCUCUCGAGAGGACUUUUUCUUCCUAUAUACAAGUCAGGAUCUCUUCGUUCUCCUUAGUUCGGUUUUUCUGAUACUUUAUUUUAAAUUUAAGGUUCCAUCACAAUAGCCCAUUAACCACAUGUUGAGAAGAUCACUCAAAUGAAAAUAGUUCAGACGAGAUGACCAAGUGUUUACCAAAGGCAAGGAUGAAUGUUGCAUAAGUUCGAUAGGAAUGAUGGUUCCAUCCACAUAAGUUGGGAGAGGGAGAUUGACCCCUCCUUAUUUGAUGAAGAGAAACAAUGACGUUAAAAGAAUGAGUAAAGGAUAAUAAAAGAAAGAGAAUUAAGGUGGCUAAUGCAUGGCUAUUGGUGAUGAAGAGUAAAGUAAGGAAAGCUCAUGUCAUGUACCAUGACAUCUGAGUACUCAGUGAUGGAUUAGAUGUAUUUGGUAAAUGUUUCUUGCAAAUAACCCAUAGCAAGAGUGAUAUAACCUCUAAAUGAACCUUAGUCCAGUUUAGGUAUGAAGACAGUUACUUUCUAUAUAAUACACGCUUCAUAUGGCCAAAAUACCACUUUAGAUUCAAUUAAUUUUAUGUGGCUGCAUAUUGCUUCCAUAAAUAUACUCUUAAAAAAUCAACAAAAAAAAAAAGGUGAAAAUCAUUAUCUUAAAUAGUUAACUAUUUAAUGUUUCCUAUUAUAAGUAUCUUCAUGCUUAAAUAAGGUUUUUUCAAGAAAUUAGUCUAACUUGGAAGUCAGGCUUGUCUAGUUGGUUAAAACUUGCCUCAAGUUUCCCUUAUUAGAUAUCCUAGUGCAUCACUGAAUAUCAUUGAAGUAAUACAUAUAUCUUCUUACAAGUUUUUUAAAGCAUGACUUUCUUGUUUUUAGCUGCUUUGUUGAGACCAUAGAUGUUGAAUAAUAUAUGUCUUGUAAUAUACCCCAGUAGCUUGUUAGUUGACACAAAAUAAAUAAUAACCAUGAUACCAUUCCUUUUGUUAUCAUCAUUGUUAUGUUACAAGAAAAUCUACUCAUAAGAUAUCGUUCAUUUUGGACUAUGUGUACUUGUUGUUUGGUCUACCAAUACAAAUCAACCACGUACACAGAUGGUGGGGUCCUGUGAUCACCAAGUUCUCGUACAGAUUGUUGAACUUUUGGACAAGAAACGAUAAGAGUCGUCCAUAAUGAAGUAUAUAUACUUCGACAUCUCCAACGGAAGAAAUCCUAGACUGUUCAAUUUCUCAUUCUGCGGCCAUUUCCUCUUUCUUUUUCUCUUAUUCUCCUUCGUUCCUGUCUAUUUUCUUUCGUUCCAGUUUGUGUGUGUAACCAAAACUCAGCCAAAAACAAAUAUAACGACCUCACAAUCUAGCCACGGAGAAGGAUCAUCCAGGGGAACCAAAAGGCUAACAGAACAGGUAAUUACUUGGAUGAUCGUUGUAACAACCCCUUCCUAAUUUUACAAUUUUAUUAAUUUUAAAACAAUGAAUUGACGAAAAUGCCCUAGAGGCGAGAUUGUUAACUUCGUUGAUUGCCAUUUCGUGACACGUAUGAGCUAUUAAUUUACCGUAUACUCAAACGUGUAGACGCAUGCAGAAUCGAAAUCUGAAUUACGAUGGAGAUUUUACAGAACUACGAAUCUGAAAGGUUAUUUUUGAAAAAGAACAAUUACUAUUUUAGUUAUUAAUAUAUUAUUUUAUAUUAUUUUAAGUAGGAUUUUUAUGUUGUGGUGGCCCACACCCACCACUCAUCUCUGCCACAUGUCACUCCCCCCAACUUUCUCGAUCUCUUUUCCCUCACUCCAC